rnacentral:rRNA from 1 species
ACGUAGGGUGCGAGCGUUGUCCGGAAUUAUUGGGCGUAAAGGGCUCGUAGGCGGUCUGUCGCGUCGGGAGUGAAAACUCAGGGCUUAACCCUGAGCCUGCUUCCGAUACGGGCAGACUAGAGGUAUGCAGGGGAGAACGGAAUUCCUGGUGUAGCGGUGGAAUGCGCAGAUAUCAGGAGGAACACCGGUGGCGAAGGCGGUUCUCUGGGCAUUACCUGACGCUGAGGAGCGAAAGUGUGGGGAGCGAACAGGA